GUCCGCUGUGUGCCGGGAUUGGCCCUCCAGUGCCGGGGCGCGUGACCUUGCCCCAUUCCUCCACCUUAACGCAUUCCUCCCUCCACCAGGCCCUGUUUCGCCUGCAGCCUCAGCACCUGACCUGGGUCCUGCGCAGCGAGGGCCCCCUCUGGGAUGGUGUAAACUUAUUCAGCUUCAAAUGCAGCCCAGUAUCCUGCCCUAAGUUCCAGAGGACCAUUUUCCACAUGAAAAGUCUUAUGGAUAGACAAACUUCCAUUCAAACCAAUGUCAAGCUUUCAUUGCAAGAAAGUAGCAGCCGUGUUUAAGGGCUUGUUUCUGGCUAUGUUAAAGGACCAUCCUCUGAGGAAAGCAGAGGAGAGGAACUCCAUUAUCCUUACAGUGAAACGCAGCCACUGCAGAAAAACUCCGCUGAGUUCGCUCCAAAUGCUCAUCUUCUUCUUCGGCCCUGGAUGUCAGACAAACAGGACAAACAGGAAACAAAAUUAUUUUUCUUCGUGGAGGGCAGAGCAGCAGCACUCCCCCGUCGCCCAGUAUUUGGAUCCCCAGCGGGAAUGGGGAGCACCAGGCCAGCGGGAGGCUGCCCCGGCCCUCCCCGCGACCUCUGGAUUGAACUUUCCGCACACUUCUCGGCCCCUCGGCAGGUGGCCCAGCCUCGACCCGACCCCACUGCCCACUCACUGCUUCUCCUGCGCGUCCAGGUCCCUGACGAGCGCAUCGCGCUUGUUCACCAGGGCCACCAGCUCGUCUAGCAGGAGCUGCUCCCGUCGCUUCUGGGCCUCGGUCUUCUGCCAGUCUGCA
rnacentral:antisense_RNA from 1 species